AUAAAGUUGUGGGAUCUUGGAGGUCAACCAAGGUUUCGCAGCAUGUGGGAGAGAUACUGCCGCGCAGUUUCAGCUAUUGUAUAUGUUGUAGAUGCUGCUGAUUUUGAUAAUUUGUCUGUCUCAAGAAGUGAACUUCAUGACCUUUUGAGUAAGCCGUCACUGAAUGGUAUUCCCUUGCUGGUGCUGGGAAACAAGAUUGACAAACCAGGAGCUUUGUCUAAAGAAGAUUUUACAGAACAAAUGGGGCUCAAGUCUGUUGCCAAUAGAGAAGUGUGUUGCUUCAUGAUUUCAUGCAAAAACUCCACUAACAUUGAUACAGUUAUUGAUUGGCUAGUAAAGCAUUCCAAAUCAAAGAAUUGAGUGUCGGUCGCUGUACUUAUAGUGGUCAGUAUGACAAUUUUAAGUAGCUGAAUUUCAGCUUUGGUUGAAGUGCACUUUUACUGUGUCUAACAGGGUUUAUUGAUGUCUUGACCAUCAUAUUUUAUGCGUGGCUUUAAUAGCAGUGCGUUUCAUUUGGUUUGGCAUCCAGGCUUUGAUGACACCCUUGUAUUUCUUGUUGGGUGCAAACUGGUUUGAUUUGCAGUGUACAGAUAUUUGUUUAUAAUUUGCAGAGUAAACAUGCUACAUUUGAUGUGGUUUUGAGUGGAUUAAAAACAAAUAUCUGUACACUGCAAAUCAAA
rnacentral:misc_RNA from 1 species